AACAUCGCGCACCUGCGGGAACCUGCGGAGGGAUCAUUACCGAGUCACGUGCUCAAACAACCCUUCUGUGGACCUGAAAUAAAACCGUUGCCUCGGCGGGCGGUCCCCCCCAAACCAACCCCACGUGGUGGGUUAGGGGAGACCAGACAGUCCGGUACGCUUAAGGCGUCCGGCGCCAGCCGCUGGCCCCAAACAAUUAAACUCUAGUAAUCUUUACCUUCUGAGUUUCAAUAUUUAAAA
rnacentral:misc_RNA from 1 species